rnacentral:rRNA from 1 species
UACAGAGGGGGCUAGCGUUGCUCGGAAUCACUGGGCGUAAAGCGCACGUAGGCGGCUUUCUAAGUCAGGGGUGAAAUCCUGGAGCUCAACUCCAGAACUGCCUUUGAUACUGGAGAGCUUGAGUCCGGAAGAGGUGAGUGGAACUCCGAGUGUAGAGGUGAAAUUCGUAGAUAUUCGGAAGAACACCAGUGGCGAAGGCGGCUCACUGGUCCGGUACUGACGCUGAGGUGCGAAAGCGUGGGGAGCAAACAGG